AAUGCCGGCAUUUCAUGUUUCCAUCAACCGAGUCGUCACUUUUAGUUCAUGCGCCAUGUAAUUCAUCUGCAUGAAAUUGUCGGAUGGGAAACGUGGUUAGUGACCACCAAACAAACAAAUAUUUUCGUGGGCGGAGAAAAACCUCUCGCUUCGCCUCUUUCGUCUCUUCCUCUCUGACUACACUGAGUAGAAAGUUUGGUAGCGUAGUGACAGACGCUGUGGUCAGUCUAAAGACAUGCAAGUACUGACAGGGUUUCUUGCCAGUUUUACGUUUUAAAAUGAUGUCAACAGCAAUCGCAACCUCCAACAAGUCGUUUAAAUACUUUACCAUAAGAACUUCAGAGUAAAGACGGCAAUGGAAAGGUGGAAUAGUCACGUGCGCGCUAGACUGUUCCAGAGAGAUUUUACACAAAAGGACCCAUUCAGUGGUGUCUUCAACACCUUGUCCAAAUUAGCGGAGCGGCUUGACCUAAGGGAGACAUUUUGGGAUGAGUUACAGAGACCCAGUUCUGAAGGAUAUGGUGGAAUGACAGCUGACCACAGAGAAUUACACCUCAACCUCAGAGGAGUGAACAUAUAACAGAAAAGCUCCCUCGGACAGUUUCUGACCUGACCACCGUCAUGUACCUGAAAGACGCAGAGCUUCAAUACUGCCACUCACAAGUCUCUCGCUAUCGGAAGGAAGCUGUCACUCAAGCCAGGGGGGCCAACAUUCUGCAGGCCAGCCUAUCAGAGCGUGAGUUUGAAUUGGAGAGCCAAUCAAAGGAGUUGGCAGCCCUGUGGUUGGAGCAGCGGGAGUUGAGGGAGGGGCUAGCAGCGGCCUGGAGAGAGAAAGAGGGGCUUCUGGAGAGAUGGAUGGAUGGAUGAGGAGGAGGAGGUGGCGGCAGAGAGAGUGCACAGGAAAGAUGGCGUCGUUUCACCCGUUGACUCAACAAGCAUCUCCGUAGAGCGAUGCUGCGACCAGGUGAGCAGACCAACUCCUGGAUGACUGGAGACACACAAACAACAGACACAGAACACACAGCAGUGGCAGGCACUCGCUUGCGUCCCAACUAAUAUCAAGGUCUGCUUUGGCCAGAGGAGGAUGGUGCACAAUGCCCAGGGUGGACCUUGACACAUUUUCCCAAAAGCUUCCUGUACUAAAACACACCUUGAAUGUGGCUCAAAUGUUUAUUUUUUAUUUUUUUACAUUUUAUCUAUUGAAAGAUAUUGAUUUUAAUCAAUGUAGGUAUGGGUAAAGCUAAUUAUAAACCAAACUGUAAUACUGUUGUAAAUUUUAGAUACUGUAUGUGCAGGCUUAUUUAAGUGAGUACCUAAGACCUAACUCAAUGUUUUAAUAUUAACUGUUUUAAAAUACUAUGAGCAAUAAAGUAACAAACUUCUCA